rnacentral:rRNA from 1 species
ACGGUGUUCGGGAUUAUUGGGCGUAAGAGCUCGUAGGCGGUUUGUCGCGUCUGCUGUGAAAGCCCGGGGCUCAACCCCGGGUCUGCAGUGGGUACGGGCAGACUAGAGUGCAGUAGGGGAGACUGGAAUUCCUGGUGUAGCGGUGAAAUGCGCAGAUAUCAGGAGGAACACCGAUGGCGAAGGCAGGUCUCUGGGCUGUUACUGACGCUGAGGAGCGAAAGCAUGGGGAGCGAACAGGAUUAGAUACCCUGGUAGUCCAUGCCGUAAACGUUGGGCACUAGGUGUGGGGGACAUUCCACGUUUUCCGCGCCGUAGCUAACGCAUUAAGUGCCCCGCCUGGGGAGUACGGCCGCAAGGCUAAAACUCAAAGGAAUUGACGGGGGCCCGCACAAGCGGCGGAGCAUGCGGAUUAAUUCGAUGCAACGCGAAGAACCUUACCAAGGCUUGACAUUCACCGGACCGCCCCAGAGAUGGGGUUUCCCUUCGGGGCUGGUGGACAGGUGGUGCAUGGUUGUCGUCAGCUCGUGUCGUGAGAUGUUGGGUUAAGUCCCGCAACGAGCGCAACCCUCGUUCUAUGUUGCCAGCACGUGAUGGUGGGGACUCAUAGGAGACUGCCGGGGUCAACUCGGAGGAAGGUGGGGAUGACGUCAAAUCAUCAUGCCCCUUAUGUCUUGGGCUUCACGCAUGCUACAAUGGCCGGUACAAAGGGUUGCGAUACUGUGAGGUGGAGCUAAUCCCAAAAAGCCGGUCUCAGUUCGGAUUGAGGUCUGCAACUCGACCUCAUGAAGUCGGAGUCGCUAGUAAUCGCAGAUCAGCAACGCUGCGGUGAAUACGUUCCCGGGCCUUGUACACACCGCCCGUCAAGUCACGAAAGUUGGUAACACCCGAAGCCGGUGGCCUAACCCCUUGUGGGAGGGAGCCGUCGAAGGUGGGACUGGCGAUUGGGACUAAGUCGUAACAAGGUAAACCGUAA